rnacentral:rRNA from 1 species
AGUGAACGCUGGCGGUAGGCCUAACACAUGCAAGUCGAACGGCAGCACAGUAAGAGCUUGCUCUUACGGGUGGCGAGUGGCGGACGAGUGAGGAAUACAUCGGAAUCUACUUUUUCGUGGGGGAUAACGUAGGGAAACUUACGCUAAUACCGCAUACGACCUACGGGUGAAAGCAGGGGAUCUUCGGACCUUGCGCGAUUGAAUGAGCCGAUGUCGGAUUAGCUAGUUGGCGGGGUAAAGGCCCACCAAGGCGACGAUCCGUAGCUGGUCUGAGAGGAUGAUCAGCCAAACUGGAACUGGGACACGGUCCAGACUCCUACGGGAGGCAACAGUGGGGAAUAUUGGACAAUGGGCGCAAAGCUUAUCCAGCCAUACCGCGUGGGGGAAGGAGGCCUUCGGGUUGUAAAGCCCUUUUUUUGGGAAAAAAAAGCAGCAGGUUAAUUCCCCGCUGUUCUGACGGUACCCAAAGGAUAAGCACCGGCUAACUUCGUG